GUCACUAUGAACAACAAGAAGAAGUCGUUCCUGGGCAUGCCCAUGCCACUUGGCUAUGUGCCAGGGCUGGGCCACAGUGCCACUGGCUUCACCACUCACUCAGACAUUGGGCCUGCCUGGGGCGCAAAUGAUCCUGUGAAUGACCGCCAUGCACCACCAGGGAAGAGAACCAUGGAAGGCCAGAUGAAGAAAAACCAGGCUGCUGCUGCUGCUGCUGAUGGCAAGGAUCUGAAUGACGCUAACUAUGAUGAGUUUGACGGUUAUGCUGGGAGCCUCUUCUCAAGUGGACCUUAUGAAGAAAUGAUGAAGCAGAUGCUUUUUAUGCAGCUCUGGAUAAAAGGAUGGAUGAAAGAGAGAAAGAAGAGGUUGAGAAAUACCAAAUGGAAUGCCCCAAAAUCCAGCAGCAGUUUUCAAAUCUCAAAAGGAAGUUGGCAGAGGUCCCAGAAGAAGAGUAGCUAAGCAUCCCAGAGGUCAGCGACGCCAGAAACAAACAUCAGCAGAAUCCCUGCUAUGAGAAGCUGGCUCUUGUUCCUGAUAGCUUUUUCACCAAACAUUUACAGACAGGAGAGAACCAUACUUCUGUGGAUCCCUGGCAAACUUAAUUUGGUCUGAACACGCCCUAUCCAGGUGGGCUCAGCCAUAACCAGGUGAAAUAACACCAGGUCUGAUGACCCCUGGCACAGCUGGACAUGAGGAAGACUGGGCAAACCAGGAUCACUCUGAUGGACAUGAGGUUGAGUCACGUGUCUGACUCAGUGAGUGGACAGACUGUUGUGGGCCCCAAAGGCUACCCGACAGAUUUAAACUGUAUGAUCCUAACCCAUGGAGGGGACAUCAGUGAUAUCAAGAAAGCACUACUGGGCCGAAAAGCACUACUGCUCCUCAAGUCUGUUUGGAAGACAAAUCCUCAUCACUUGCCAGCCUGAAUUGCCUCUGCACACUUGGAGGAAGUAACUGGAAAGCUGCAAGUAGCUCGGAACCUUACUAUGAAAGGGACAGAGAUGUGCCCAAGAGUGAAGAUGUCUGGCUGCAAGCAGCCAGGUUGCAGCCUGGAGACACAGCCAUGGCUGUUGUAGCCCAAGCUGUCCACCAGCUCCCACAAUCUGUUAGGAUUUACAUCAGAGCAGCAGAGCUAGAAACAGACAUUUGAGCAAAGAAGUAGGUUCUUCAAAAAUCCCUUGAGCAUGUUCCCAACUCUCUUUGCUUGUGGAAAGUGUCUAUUGAGCUGGAAGAGCCUGAAGAUGCUAGAAUCAUGCUCAGUCAAGCCGCAGAGUGCUGUCCCACCAGCGUAGAGCUCUGGCUGGCUCUAGCAAGGCUGGAGACUUAUGAAAAUGCCCACAAGGUCUUAAAUAAAGCACAUGAGAACAUUCCUACAGACCAGCACAUCUGGAUCACAGCCGCCAAGCUGGAGGAAGCCAAUGGAAACACUCAGUUGGUGGAGAAGAUCACUGACUGAGCCAUCACUUCACUGUGGGCCAGUGGUCUGGAAGUCAACCAUGAGCAGUGGAUCCAGGAUCCUGAGGAGUAUGACAGGGUGGGGAGUGUGGCCAGGUGCCAGGCAGUCAUGCGUGUGGUGAUUGGGAUUGGGAUUGAAGAAGAAGAUCAGAAGCACACCUGGAUGGAAGAUGCUAACAGUUGUGUGGCCCACAAUGCCCUGGAGUGUGCGCCAGCCAGCUAUACCUAUGCCUUGCAAGUAUUCUCCAGCAAGAAGAGUAUUGUGUGGCUGUGAGCCACAUACUUUGUCAAGGAGUCUCUAGAAGCACUUCUUCAGAGAGCUGUGGCCCACUGCCCCAAAGCAGAGAUGUUGUGCCUCAUGGGAGCUAAAUCCAAGUGGCUGGCAGGGGACGUGCCUACAGCAAGGAGCAUCUUGGCCUUGGCCUUCCAGGCCAGCCCCAACAGUGAGGAACUCUGUCUGGCAGCCAAGGAGCUGGCGUCAGAGAAUAAUGCAUGCGAGCAGGCCCAGAGGCUGCUGGCUGAGGCAUGGAGCAGCACACCCACAGCCCUGUGUUCAGGAAGGCCACUGCAGCUGCUCAGGAGCUGUGUGAGGAGGCACUGAGGCACUAUGAGGACUUCCCCAAGCUGUGGAUGAUGAAAGGGCAGAUUGAGGACCAGGGAGAGCCGAUAGAGAAGGCUUGAGAAGCCUACAACCAGGGGCUAAAGAAGUGCCCCCACUCCACACCCCUGUGGCUCUUGCUUUCCCGGCUAGAGGAGAAGAUUGGGCAGCUCACCCAAACACAGUCCAUUUUGGAGAAGUCUCGCCUGAAGAACCCAAAGAAUCCUGGGCUCUGGCUGGAGUCCGUGCAGCUGGAGUAUUGAGCAGAGCUGAAGAACAUUGCCAACACACUCAUGGCCAACCAUUGCAGGAGUGCCCCAACUCUGGUAUCCUGUGGUCUGAAGCUAUCGUCCUUGAGGCCAGGCCCCAGAGGAAGACCAAGAGUGAGGACACCCUGAAGGAGUGUGAGCAUGCCUCACAUGCUCCUGGCCAUAGCCAAGCUGUUCUGGAGUGAACGGAAGAUCAUCAGGGCCCAGAAGUGGUUCCAUUGCACAGUGAAGAUUGAUUCUGACCUAGGGGAUGUGUGAGUUUUCUUCUACAAGUUUGAGCUGCAGCACAGCACUGAGGAGCAGCAAAAGGAGGUGAGGAAACACUGUGAGCACGCAGAGCCCUGACACAGGGAGCUGCGGUGCACCGUGUCCAAGAACAUCGCCAGCUGGCAGCGGAAGACUGGGGAGAUCAUGGUGCCGGUGGCUGUUUGCAUCAAGAAUACCUUCUGA